AGAGUUCGCUUCUGGCUCAGGAUGAACGCUAGCUACAGGCUUAACACAUGCAAGUCGAGGGGCAGCAUCAUCAAAGCUUGCUUUGAUGGAUGGCGACCGGCGCACGGGUGAGUAACACGUAUCCAACCUGCCGACAACACUGGGAUAGCCUUUCGAAAGAAAGAUUAAUACCGGAUGGCAUAGUUUUCCCGCAUGGGAUAAUUAUUAAAGAAUUUCGGUUGUCGAUGGGGAUGCGUUCCAUUAGGCAGUUGGCGGGGUAACGGCCCACCAAACCAACGAUGGAUAGGGGUUCUGAGAGGAAGGUCCCCCACAUUGGAACUGAGACACGGUCCAAACUCCUACGGGAGGCAGCAGUGAGGAAUAUUGGUCAAUGGACGAGAGUCUGAACCAGCCAAGUAGCGUGAAGGAUGACUGCCCUAUGGGUUGUAAACUUCUUUUAUACGGGAAUAAAGUUAGCCACGUGUGGCUUUUUGUAUGUACCGUGUGAAUAAGGAUCGGCUAACUCCGUGCCAGCAGCCGCGGUAAUACGGAGGAUCCGAGCGUUAUCCGGAUUUAUUGGGUUUAAAGGGAGCGUAGGCGGGUUGUUAAGUCAGUUGUGAAAGUUUGCGGCUCAACCGUAAAAUUGCAGUUGAUACUGGCGACCUUGAGUGCAACAGAGGUAGGCGGAAUUCGUGGUGUAGCGGUGAAAUGCUUAGAUAUCACGAAGAACUCCGAUUGCGAAGGCAGCUUACUGGAUUGUAACUGACGCUGAUGCUCGAAAGUGUGGGUAUCAAACAGGAUUAGAUACCCUGGUAGUCCACACAGUAAACGAUGAAUACUCGCUGUUGGCGAUAUACAGUCAGCGGCCAAGCGAAAGCAUUAAGUAUUCCACCUGGGGAGUACGCCGGCAACGGUGAAACUCAAAGGAAUUGACGGGGGCCCGCACAAGCGGAGGAACAUGUGGUUUAAUUCGAUGAUACGCGAGGAACCUUACCCGGGCUUAAAUUGCAACUGACGGAACCGGAAACGGUUCUUUCUUCGGACAGUUGUGAAGGUGCUGCAUGGUUGUCGUCAGCUCGUGCCGUGAGGUGUCGGCUUAAGUGCCAUAACGAGCGCAACCCUUAUCGAUAGUUACUAGCAGGUCAUGCUGAGGACUCUAUUGAGACUGCCGUCGUAAGAUGUGAGGAAGGUGGGGAUGACGUCAAAUCAGCACGGCCCUUACGUCCGGGGCUACACACGUGUUACAAUGGGGGGUACAGAAGGCAGCUACACGGCGACGUGGUGCUAAUCCCGAAAGCCUCUCUCAGUUCGGAUUGGAGUCUGCAACCCGACUCCAUGAAGCUGGAUUCGCUAGUAAUCGCAGGUCAGCAUACUGCGGUGAAUACGUUCCCGGGCCUUGUACUCACCGCCCGUCAAG
rnacentral:rRNA from 1 species